ACUCAAAUGAAUAGACGGGGACCCGCACAAGCGGUGGAACAUGUGGUUCAAUUCGAUGCUACGCGAAGAACCUCACCCAGGCUUGACAUACAAGAAGUAGUGAACCGAAAGGGGAACGACCUGUUAAAUCAGGAGCUUGAACAGGUGCUGCAUGGCUGUCGUCAGCUCGUGUCGUGAGAUGUUGGGUUAAGUCCCGCAACGAGCGCAACCAUUGCCCUAUGUUGCUAACUUAUGAUCUUCGGAUUGUGAGUGCACUCUUAGGGGACUGCUCGGGAUAACCGGGAGGAAGGUGGAGAUGACGUCAAGUCAGUACGGCCUUUAUGCCUGGGGCUACACACGUGUUACAAUGCCCGGUACAAAGGGUUGCCAACCCGUGAGGGGGAGCCAAUCUCAAAAAACCGGGCCCAGUUCGGAUAGAAGUCUGCAACUCGACUCCUUGAAGCCGGAAUCGCUAGUAAUGGGAGAUCAGCUCGCUCCCGUGAAUACGUUCCCGGGUCUUGUACACACCGCCCGU
rnacentral:rRNA from 1 species